CAAUAGGAGUCUGCUUCUAACUGUCUCUUGACUGAGACUAGCGACUUGUGCGCUAACUUUUGACUUGACCUCAAAUCAGGUAGGACUACCCGCUGAACUUAAGCAUAUCAAUAAGCGGAGGAAAAGAAACUAACAAGGAUUCCCCUAGUAACUGCGAGUGAAGCGGGAAAAGCUCAAAUUUAAAAUCUGGCGGUCUCCGGCCGUCCGAGUUGUAAUUUAGAGAAGCGUUAUCCGUGCUGGACCGUGUAUAAGUCUCCUGGAAUGGAGCGUCAUAGAGGGUGAGAAUCCCGUCUUUGACACGGACUACCAGUGCAUUGUGAUGCGCUCUCGACGAGUCGAGUUGUUUGGGAAUGCAGCUCAAAAUGGGUGGUAAAUGCCAUCUAAAGCUAAAUAUUGGCGAGAGACCGAUAGCGAACAAGUACCGUGAGGGAAAGAUGAAAAGAACUUUGGAAAGAGAGUUAAACAGUACGUGAAAUUGUCGAAAGGGAAACGGUUGCAGUCAGUCGCGUCCGCCGGGGAUCAACCUUGCUUUUGCUUGGCGUAUUUCCCGGUGGAUGGGUCAGCAUCAGUUUUGACCGCAGUUGAAAGGCUGGAGGAAUGUGGCACCUUCGGGUGUGUUAUAGCCUCCUGUCAUAUGCUGCGGUUGGGACUGAGGAACUCAGCACGCCGAAAGGCCGGGAUUCGUCCACGUUCGUGCUUAGGAUGCUGGCAUAAUGUCUGUAACCGACCCGUCUUGAAACACGGACCAAGGAGUCUAACAUGCACGCGAGUGUUUGGGUGGCAAACCCGAGCGCGUAAUGAAAGUGAAAGUUGAGACCUCUGUCGUGGAGGGCAUCGA
rnacentral:rRNA from 1 species